rnacentral:tRNA from 1 species
AUUUAAAUAGCUUAACUAAGAGCAUAAUAUUGAAGAUAUUAGGGUGAUUAAUUUAAUCUUUAAAUA